AAAAAAAAAAAAACAUUCAAUGUCCUGAAAGCAUAUAAAGGAAGCAAUACCAGAAAAUUUGGUGGUAUUGUAAGCAAGUUAAGAAAUUCUUGAUCUUUAACUGAAUCUUAGCCUGAUCUUUAGACUUCUGCAUUUAAGCAAGCCAACCAUCUAGAAAACUAGAAUGGAGAAUUCCUGCUUCUUUUUCAAGUCUUUGGAGAAAUAUUGUCUUAGAUUCAAUUAUUGCAUUUUUACCCCAUGAUCAUGGUAACAUACAUGGAUACCAUAUCAGUAUUUUUUAUCAAUUAAAGAUGCAUUUCUUGCACUGUAUUUAUUGUGGAGUAAGGGGUUAAGGAUUUGUGACAUAUGAGUGCUACUUAGGUUGCUACUUCAGGGAAUAAAUUAAGAUGCAUGCAUGGCAGCAACCGUUCUUUGAGAUUGGUAUAUUGCCAAUUGCUGACUUUAGAUAUACCCAUUAGGUGUGUGUGGUUCUUAUUCUGUUCAGGUUCUGCCUAGGAACAAGAACCAAACCUAAAUUUCGGUAGGAUUCCGGUUUUAUUCUUAAUUAUUUUAGUUCCAGUUUGGUACAAUUCUUGGUUCUUUGAUUUUGACUCAGUUCUGUACGGUUCCGGUUCGAUUCUCUUCUUGGUUCUUGAAACAAUUUUAUGUAA
rnacentral:misc_RNA from 1 species